AGGUCAUUCACUUUACAUUGUUUAAAGUACAGGCUAUACUAUCAGUUACUUUACAGAGGUCUCUAUCUUGAUACUCUGUGGAAUAUGGGUGGUGCAGAAUUAUUGGGGGAGAGAACAAGAUAGAGAAUGUUUGCAGAAUGUUUAGUAUUCACCAACACUGAUAUGUGGGAUUGUGGACACUAAUGAGAGUGGACCGAAAUAUAGAAGAGCAUGGUUCCUAAGCUCGCAGACUGACACCUAGUGAUGCGACAUCAGUGAAGUGGCUAUUUUUAAGGACAUACUGAUGAACUGCCUGCAGUUGUCUCAGUGCUGAAACUACUUUCACUUAGUUUGAAGUUGAAGCAGAUAUGCAGUAUAAGUCCACUGCUGUUAGCUAUCUGGAGUGUCACGCUCUGCGGCCAUUUUUUUGUGCAGGAUGUUAUGGAAAAAAAAAAUUACUGAAACAGAGUUCAAAGA